rnacentral:pre_miRNA from 1 species
AGUUAAAUAGCUGGAUCAAAUGGUGGUUUCAUUCCAAGUUUUCUGAGGAAUCUUCAUACUGCUUUCUAGAGUGGUUGCACAAUUUGCAGUUCCACCAGCAAU